rnacentral:rRNA from 1 species
UGAAGAAGGCCUUCGGGUUGUAAAGCACUUUCAGUCGUGAGGAAGGUGGUGUAGUUAAUAGCUGCAUUAUUUGACGUUAGCGACAGAAGAAGCACCGGCUAACUCCGUGCCAGCAGCCGCGGUAAUACGGAGGGUGCGAGCGUUAAUCGGAAUUACUGGGCGUAAAGCGCAUGCAGGUGGUUUGUUAAGUCAGAUGUGAAAGCCCGGGGCUCAACCUCGGAAUAGCAUUUGAAACUGGCAGACUAGAGUACUGUAGAGGGGGGUAGAAUUUCAGGUGUAGCGGUGAAAUGCGUAGAGAUCUGAAGGAAUACCGGUGGCGAAGGCGGCCCCCUGGACAGAUACUGACACUCAGAUGCGAAAGCGUGGGGAGCAAACAGGAUUAGAUACCCCC